GACGAACGCUGGCGGCGUGCUUAACACAUGCAAGUCGAACGGAAAGGCCCUGCUUGCAGGGUGCUCGAGUGGCGAACGGGUGAGUAGCACGUGGGUGAUCUGCCCCUUACUUUGGGAUAAGCCUGGUAAACUGGGUCUAAUACUGGAUAGGACCAUGCUGUAGGUGGUGUGGUGGAAAGAUUAGUUUCGGUAAGGGAUGAGCUCGCGGCCUAUCAGCUUGUUGGUGGGGUAAUGGCCUACCAAGGCGUCGACGGGUAGCCGGCCUGAGAGGGUGGGCGGCCAGGUUGGGACUGAGACAAGGGGCAGAAGUCCGAGGGGGGGCGCAAGGGGGGAAAGUGGCACAUAGGGGCAAGGCGUGAGGAAGGAAGGCGGGGGGGGGAUGACGGCCUUCGGGUUGUAAACUCCUUUCAGCCAUGACGAAGCCCUUGUGGUGACGGUAGUGGUAGAAGAAGCACCGGCUAACUACGUG
rnacentral:rRNA from 1 species